UACAGAGGGGGCAAGCGUUGUUCGGAAUUACUGGGCGUAAAGGGCGCGUAGGCGGCCAACUAAGUCAGACGUGAAAUCCCCAGGCUCAACCUGGGAACUGCGUCUGAUACUGGUUGGCUUGAAUCCGGGAGAGGGAUGCAGAAUUCCAGGUGUAGCGGUGAAAUGCGUAGAUAUCUGGAGGAAUACCGGUGGCGAAGGCGGCAUCCUGGACCGGCAUUGACGCUGAGGAGCGAAAGCCAGGGGAGCAAACGGG
rnacentral:rRNA from 1 species